GGAGGGAUCGCAUAGUGGACGAGUGCGCGGCACUGGAGAUGCCGUAGGGUAGAAAUACUCUCCAGGGUUCGAAUCCCUGUCCCUCCGCCA
rnacentral:tRNA from 3 species